AUGGCAACGUCCUCCAGGCGGACGCUGAUCCAAUGGGCUGAGGAGUCGAGGCGGACGUCGCCGCAGGAGGCAGCGCCAUCCGGGCAGCAGGAGGCGCCGAGGGCAAGACCACCAGUCCGGCGGCCGAGACGAGGACGAGGCAGGGACCCGCGGCGUCCUCCUUGGCCCACCGCGACGAGAGGCAGGAACCGAUGCAGGAGCAGCCGGAACCGGGCCGCCAGGAACCGAUGCCGGUGCGGCCGGAGCCGGGACGGGAGCGACCCCCUCCUGGAGGUCGGCAGGAACUACGACGGGAGCGACCCCCUCCUGGAGGUCGGCAGGAACUACGACGAGAGCGACCCCCUCCUGGAGGUCGGCAGGAACUACGACGGGAGCGACCCCCUCCUGGAGGUCGGCAGGAACUACGACGGGAGCGACCCCCUCCUGGAGGUCGGCAGGAACUACGACGGGAGCGACCCCCUCCUGGAGGUCGGCAGGAACUACGACGGGAGCGACCCCCUCCUGGAGGUCGGCAGGAACUACGACGGGAGCGACCCCCUCCUGGAGGUCGGCAGGAACUACGACGGGAGCGACCCCCUCCUGGAGGUCGGCAGGAACUACGACGGGAGCGACCCCCUCCUGGAGGUCGGCAGGAACUACGACGGGAGCGACCCCCUCCUGGAGGUCGGCAGGAACUACGACGGGAGCGACCCCCUCCUGGGGGUCCGCAGGAACUACGGCGGGAGCGACCCCCUCCUGGAGGUCGGCAGGAACUACGGCGGGAGCGACCCCCUCCUGGAGGUCGGCAGGAGCUGCGGCGGGAGCGACCCCCUCCUGGAGGUCGGCAGGAGCUGCGGCUGGCGCGACCUCCUCCUGGAGGCGCGCAGGAACUGCGGCUGGCGCGACCUCCUCCUGGAGGCGCGCAGGAACUGCGGCUGGCGCGACCUCCUCCUGGGGGCCGGCGGGCGCUACGGCUCCACGGGUGACGGGGACUGGAACGACCGCUACAGGGCCGACAGGAACGGGGACUGGAACGACCGCUACAGGGCCGACAGGAACGGGGACUGGAACGACCGCUACAGGGUCGACAGGAACGGGGACUGGAACGACCGCUACAGGGUCGACAGGAACGGGGACUGGAACGACCGCUACAGGGUCGGCAGGAACGGGGUCAGAGACAGGGGUGACCUCUACUUGGCCUACGGGAACGCCCUCUACUUGGCCUACGGGAACGCCCUCUACUUGGCCUACGGGAACGCCCUCAACUUGGCCUACGGGAACGCCCUCAACUUGGCCUACGGGAACGCCCUCAACUUGGCCUACGGGAACGCCCUCAACUUGGCCUACGGGAACGCCCUCAACUUGGCCGACAGGAACAGGAACUGGAACGACCUCAAUUUGGUCGACAGGGACAGGAACUGGAACGACCUCGACGUGGCCGACAGGGACAGGAACUGGAACGACCUCAAUUUGGUCGACAGGGACAGGAACGACCUCAACAUGGCCGACAGGAACAGGAACUGGAACGACCUCAACAUGGCCGACAGGAACUGGAACGACCUCAACAUGGCCGACAGGGACAGGAACUGGAACGACCUCGACAUGGCCGACAGGGACUAG
rnacentral:lncRNA from 1 species